rnacentral:misc_RNA from 1 species
AAGUCGUAACAAGGUUUCCGUAGGUGAACCUGCGGAAGGAUCAUUCACACUUAAAGGAGUCUGAGCAGUCAAAUGCUUCAUUCUCUGAUUCUCCAAACCAAACCCAAUAUGCUACUGCUCCAAAAUAAGGCUCCCUUUGCUCUCUUCGGAGGACAAUGUAGGAGUAGUGCUUGUUUCUGACAAGCAUGCCUAAUCAACUGAUUUUAUUACCCCCCGCGUCGCUUGUGGAGCAUGCUCUGCUUGUGAUUGUCAUUCAGGACUAAGUCUGCUUCUCGUCGAAUUAAGCACUCGAUGUGGAAGCAUGUUCGACCAUACGAAACACUACACUGUUGUGUGCAAAAUACAACUCUUUGCAAUGGAUAUCUUGGUUCUC